UACGUAGGGUGCGUGCGUUAAUCGGAAUUACUGGGCGUAAAGUGUGCGCAGGCGGUUUUGCAAGACAGUUGUGAAAUCCCCGGGCUUAACCUGGGAACUGCAUUUGUGACUGCAAGGCUAGAGUACGGCAGAGGGGGGUAGAAUUCCACGUGUAGCAGUGAAAUGCGUAGAUAUGUGGAGGAAUACCGAUGGCGAAGGCAGCCCCCUGGGCUAACACUGACGCUCAUGCACGAAAGCGUGGGGAGCAAACAGG
rnacentral:rRNA from 1 species